UAGGGAAUCUUCGGCAAUGGACGGAAGUCUGACCGAGCAACGCCGCGUGAGUGAAGAAGGUUUUCGGAUCGUAAAGCUCUGUUGUAAGAGAAGAACGAGUGUGAGAGUGGAAAGUUCACACUGUGACGGUAUCUUACCAGAAAGGGACGGCUAACUACGUGCCAGCAGCCGCGGUAAUACGUAGGUCCCGAGCGUUGUCCGGAUUUAUUGGGCGUAAAGCGAGCGCAGGCGGUUAGAUAAGUCUGAAGUUAAAGGCUGUGGCUUAACCAUAGUAGGCUUUGGAAACUGUUUAACUUGAGUGCAAGAGGGGAGAGUGGAAUUCCAUGUGUAGCGGUGAAAUGCGUAGAUAUAUGGAGGAACACCGGCGGCGAGAGCGGCUCUCUGGCUUGUAACUGACGCUGAGGCUCGAAAGCGUGGGGAGCAAACAGGAUUAGAUACCCUGGUAGUCCACGCUGUAAACGAUGAGUGCUAGGUGUUAGACCCUUUCCGGGGUUUAGUGCCGUAGCUAACGCAUUAAGCACUCCGCCUGGGGAGUACGACCGCAAGGUUG
rnacentral:rRNA from 1 species